rnacentral:rRNA from 1 species
UACGAAGGGGGCUAGCGUUGUUCGGAAUUACUGGGCGUAAAGCGCACGUAGGCGGAUAUUUAAGUCAGGGGUGAAAUCCCAGAGCUCAACUCUGGAACUGCCUUCGAUACUGGGUAUCUUGAGUAUGGAAGAGGUGAGUGGAAUUCCGAGUGUAGAGGUGAAAUUCGUAGAUAUUCGGAGGAACACCAGUGGCGAAGGCGGCUCACUGGUCCAUUACUGACGCUGAGGUGCGAAAGCGUGGGGAGCAAACAGG